UUGACCUCAAAUCAGGUAGGACUACCCGCUGAACUUAAGCAUAUCAAUAAGCGGAGGAAAAGAAACUAACAAGGAUUCCCCUAGUAACUGCGAGUGAAGCGGGAAGAGCUCAAAUUUAAAAUCUGGUGGUCCUCGCGGCCGUCCGAGUUGUAAUCUGGAGAAGCGUUUUCCGCGUCGGACCGUGUACAAGUCUUCUGGAAUGGAGCGUCGUAGAGGGUGAGAAUCCCGUCUCUGACACGGACCGCCGAUGCUUUUGUGAUACGCUCUCGAAGAGUCGAGUUGUUUGGGAAUGCAGCUCAAAACGGGUGGUAAAUUCCAUCUAAAGCUAAAUAUUGGCGAGAGACCGAUAGCGAACAAGUACCGUGAGGGAAAGAUGAAAAGCACUUUGGAAGAGAU
rnacentral:rRNA from 1 species